UGGGGAAUAUUGGACAAUGGGCGCAAGCCUGAUCCAGCCAUGCCGCGUGAGUGAUGAAGGCCCUAGGGUUGUAAAGCUCUUUCACCGGUGAAGAUAAUGACGGUAACCGGAGAAGAAGCCCCGGCUAACUUCGUGCCAGCAGCCGCGGUAAUACGAAGGGGGCUAGCGUUGUUCGGAUUUACUGGGCGUAAAGCGCACGUAGGCGGACUUUUAAGUCAGGGGUGAAAUCCCGGGGCUCAACCCCGGAACUGCCUUUGAUACUGGAAGUCUUGAGUAUGGUAGAGGUGAGUGGAAUUCCGAGUGUAGAGGUGAAAUUCGUAGAUAUUCGGAGGAACACCAGUGGCGAAGGCGGCUCACUGGACCAUUACUGACGCUGAGGUGCGAAAGCGUGGGGAGCAAACAAG
rnacentral:rRNA from 2 species